rnacentral:rRNA from 1 species
GAUUAUGGCUCAGGAUGAACGCUGGCGGCGUGCCUAACACAUGCAAGUCGAGCGAUUACUUCGGUAAAGAGCGGCGGACGGGUGAGUAACGCGUGGGUAACCUGCCUCAUACACAUGGAUAACAUACCGAAAGGUAUGCUAAUACAGGAUAAUAUAAGAGAUUCACAUGGAUUUCUUAUCAAAGCUCCGGCGGUAUGAGAUGGACCCGCGUCUGAUUAGCUAGUUGGUAAGGUAAUGGCUUACCAAGGCGACGAUCAGUAGCCGACCUGAGAGGGUGAUCGGCCACAUUGGAACUGAGACACGGUCCAAACUCCUACGGGAGGCAGCAGUGGGGAAUAUUGCACAAUGGGCGAAAGCCUGAUGCAGCAACGCCGCGUGAGUGAUGAAGGCCUUCGGGUCGUAAAACUCUGUCCUCAAGGAAGAUAAUGACGGUACUUGAGGAGGAAGCCCCGGCUAACUACGUGCCAGCCGCCGC